rnacentral:rRNA from 1 species
GACGAACGCUGGCGGCGUGCUUAACACAUGCAAGUCGAACGGAAAGGCCCUGCUUUUGUUUGUUUGUCGAGUGCCGAACGGGUGAGUAACACGUGUGUAACCCGCCCUUGACUUAGGGAUAACUUCAGGAAACAGGGGCGAAAACCGCAUAGGAUCUCCUGCUCCAUGUUGUGGGAUGGAAAGAUUCGGCGUUGGGGGAUGGAUUCGCGGCUUAUCCGCUUCUUGGUGUGGUAGGGGCUUACCAGGGCUUCGACGGGUAGCCGGCAUGGGAGGGGUACCGGCGACCAGAGGACUGAGAGACGGCGCAGUCUCCUACGGGAGGCAGUGGUGGAGAGUAUGGCGCAACGGGCGGACGUCUGAUGCGACGACGCCGCGUGCGUGAUGACGGCCUACGAGUUGUAAACCGCUGUCGCAUGAGACGAAGCGUGAGUGACGGUAAUGGGUAAAGAAGCACCGGCUAACUACGUG